rnacentral:rRNA from 1 species
GGGCCCGCACAAGCGGUGGAGCAUGUGGUUUAAUUCGAUGAUACGCGAGGAACCUUACCAGGGCUUAAAUGUAGUCUGACAGGCGUGGAAACAUGCUUUUCUUCGGACAGAUUACAAGGUGCUGCAUGGUUGUCGUCAGCUCGUGCCGUGAGGUGUCAGGUUAAGUCCUAUAACGAGCGCAACCCCUGUUGUUAGUUGCCAGCGAGUCAUGUCGGGAACUCUAACAAGACUGCCAGUGCAAAACUGUGAGGAAGGUGGGGAUGACGUCAAAAUCAUCACGGCCCUUACGUCCUGGGCCACACACGUGCUACAAUGGUAGGUACAGAGAGCAGCCACUGCGCGAGCAGGAGCGAA